rnacentral:lncRNA from 1 species
UUUCCAAUCAACCUUUGUUUAGCAUUCAAUUCUGAACACACUAAAAAAACUUCAUCAAAAUCAGUUCGUCCAAAAAUGAAACAAACAUAUUACAUGCAAAGAAUCGAUACUUAUUUCUGACAUGUAAAAUAAUAAACCAAUACCAAAACAUAAUACCACAAAUCAAUAAAUUGAAAACACAGAGCCUAAUCAACAAGCAAAAACUAAUCAAGGAUGUAUUCAAAAUAUCUUCUGCCAGCACUCAAAGACAGUUGAGCAUGAUGUUGGAUAGAGUUCCUCACAGCCUUUCCUUUUAUAUAGAGAUUUUUAUCAAUAAAAAUCUCUAUAUAAACAAUAAUGAUACAAUGGUCAAUGGCAAUGGUCUUAAAGAUCUUUUACUGCUAUUAUGCAAGAAUGAAAAUUAUUGUGGUCUUAUCAAUUGCAGUUUUGUGGGCAAACUGAUCUUAGGCAUAUCAAGGAAUUAACAUAUGAAAGAUCUAACUGAUUCAUUUUUGAGUGAACUGUUCAUCUGAUUUUGAUGAAUUUUGUUUUUAUUGUGUUCAAAAUUGAAUGCU